AAGCCCUCUUUGGGCAGCGCCUUCUGCCGGGCGCCACCUUCCUGCCAUGUUGCGUGGGCACUUGACAGCUUCCACCGGUGGUGGCUGUACCCCUGUGCUGUGAGGUGAUGGCAUUUCUGCCCUAUUGCUUUCAUCGUCGCACACUGGCUACCAGGUAGGAUGAAGCAAAGAGGAUGUCGGAUUUACAAGAUGUAAAGAGCCUGGUUCCCUGAAUCACUACGUGGAGGAGAGCUGCCCAUCAAUCAGGAACACUUGCCUUGGACUGUCACAUAGGCAAGAUAAAAAACUUUUGUGGUUAUAAAUUAUGGAAAUUUUAGGCCUCUUCGUGCCCCUCAGCCUAAUAUAAAACACCUCAAAUCCUCACUUGGCACUCAAAUGUUAAAGGUUAGCUUCUCAGAAGACCUUCUCAUUGAUUACUCAACAUUAAAUACUCUCUAGUUCCUUCCAUCA